rnacentral:rRNA from 1 species
CCCUUAGAUGUUCUGGGCCGCACGCGCGCUACACUGACGAAUGCAACGAGCUUAUAACCUUGGCCGAAAGGUCUGGGUAAUCUCCAAAUUUCGUCGUGAUGGGGAUAGAUUAUUGCAAUUAUUAAUCUUCAACGAGGAAUGCCUAGUAAGCGCAAGUCAUCAGCUUGCGUUGAUUACGUCCCUGCCCUUUGUACACACCGCCCGUCGCUCCUACCGGUUGAAUGGUCCGGUGAAGCGUUCGGACCGUGGCCUUUGGACGGUUCGCCGUCUGUUGGCUGCGGGAAGUUCGUUAAACCUUAUCAUUUAGAGGAAGGAGAANUCGUANCA